rnacentral:rRNA from 1 species
GUGCAGCAGUCGCGAAUUUUUCUCAAUGGGGGAAACCCUGAAGGAGCGACGCCGCGUGGAGGAUGAAGGCCUUCGGGUUGUAAACUCCUGUCAUUUGAGAACAAGUGCCAACAAGUAACUACUGUUGGCUUGAUAGUAUCAGAAGAGGAAGGGACGGCUAACUCUGUGCCAGCAGCCGCGGUAAUACAGAGGUCCCAAGCGUUGCUCGGAUUCAUUGGGCGUAAAGGGUGCGUAGGUGGCGCCGUAAGUCAGGUGUGAAAUUUCGGAGCUUAGCUCCGAAACUGCAUUUGAUACUGCGGUGCUUGAGGACUGGAGAGGAGACUGGAAUUUACGGUGUAGCAGUGAAAUGCGUAGAGAUCGUAAGGAAGACCAGUGGCGAAGGCGGGUCUCUGGACAGUUCCUGACACUGAGGCACGAAGGCCAGGGGAGCAAACGGGAUUAGAUACCCCUGUAGU